rnacentral:rRNA from 1 species
GCAAGUCGAGCGACUCUUCGAGAGGAGCGGCGAACGGCUGCGUAACACGUUGGAAUCUGCCCCGAACUCAGGGAUAACAUCGAGAAAUCGGUGCUAAUACCGGAUAGUCCCGCAAGGGUAAAGCUUUUGCGGUUCGGGAGGAGCCUGCGGCAUAUCAGCUAGUUGGUAAGGUAAUGGCUUACCAAGGCUAUGACGUGUAGCUGAUCUGAGAGGAUGAUC